AUUGAACGCUGGCGGCAUGCCUUACACAUGCAAGUCGAACGGUAACAGGUCUUCGGAUGCUGACGAGUGGCGAACGGGUGAGUAAUACAUCGGAACGUGCCCGAUCGUGGGGGAUAACGCAGCGAAAGCUGUGCUAAUACCGCAUACGAUCUACGGAUGAAAGCGGGGGAUCGCAAGACCUCGCGCGGACGGAGCGGCCGAUGGCAGAUUAGGUAGUUGGUGGGAUAAAAGCUUACCAAGCCGACGAUCUGUAGCUGGUCUGAGAGGACGACCAGCCACACUGGGACUGAGACACGGCCCAGACUCCUACGGGAGGCAGCAGUGGGGAAUUUUGGACAAUGGGCGCAAGCCUGAUCCAGCCAUGCCGCGUGCAGGAUGAAGGCCUUCGGGUUGUAAACUGCUUUGUACGGUAACGAAAAGACUCUCUCUAAUACAGGGGUGGAAUGACGGUACCGUAAGAAUAAGCACCGGCUAACUACGUGCCAGCAGCCG
rnacentral:rRNA from 1 species